UCUCCGUCUCGCUAGGGUUUAUCCUCUCCUUCCCUUUCUCUCAAGCAUCGGCCGCUUCCAGGGUUUCGACGCGUCUCUAGGUUUUCGACAGGAUGGUCAGCCUGCUCUUUCUCUCUCCUCGCCUUCGGAUUUUCAAUUGUUUCUGCAUCUAAGGCUUUUAGAUUUUUAUCUGCUGAAUCUGUUCUGGAUCGGUUUCUAUUCAAUUGAAUUCUUCUGCUCGUCUUCCAGAUCUAUUGCCUUAUACCAAAUCGAUUUAUAGGGCUUUAAAUCUU
rnacentral:lncRNA from 1 species